GGCUAAUGAGGGGGCGGCGGCGGAGUGAAGUCGGAGGGGGCGUAGGGUAUCCGGAAUGAGUGGGCGUAAAGGGUGCGUAUGGGGUUGCUGAAGUCAGAGGUGAAAGGCGACGGCUCAACCGUAGGAAGCCUUUGAAACUGGGAAACUUGAGUGCAGGAGAGGAGAGUGGAAUUCCUAGUGUAGCGGUGAAAUGCGUAGAGAGUAGGAGGAACACCAGUUGCGAAGGCGGCUCUCUGGACUGUAACUGACACUGAGGCACGAAAGCGUGGGGAGCAAACAGGAUUAGAUACCCUGGUAGUC
rnacentral:rRNA from 1 species